UCGAGAAUCUUCGGCAAUGGGCGCAAGCCUGACCGAGCGACACCGCGUGCGGGAUGAAGGCCUUCGGGUUGUAAACCGCUGUCGUAGGGGAGGAAGGGCCUGCGAAGAGCAGGACUUGACCGAUCCUAGGAGGAAGGGCCGGCUAAUCUCGUGCCAGCAGCCGCGGUAAUACGAGAGGCCCAAACGUUAUUCGGAUUUACUGGGCUUAAAGAGUUCGUAGGCGGCUUGGAAAGUGGGGUGUGAAAGCCCUCGGCUCAACCGAGGAAUUGCGCUCCAAACUACCGAGCUUGAGGAGCUAGAGGUGAGCAGAACUGAUGGUGGAGCGGUGAAAUGCGUUGAUAUCAUCAGGAAUACCGGAGGCGAAGGCGGCUCACUGGGACUUUUCUGACGCUGAGGAACGAAAGCUAGGGGAGCAAACGGGAUUAGAUACCCCGGUAGUCCUAGCCGUAAACGGUGAGCACUGGACCGGGGGCCUGGCACAGGCCCUCGGUCGUAGCGAAAGUGUUAAGUG
rnacentral:rRNA from 1 species